CUGAUCAGCGUCGAACAUAGACUCAUCAUGGGACUGGAACUGAACUGGGUUUUCCUUGUUGCUCUUCUAAAAUGUGUCCAGUGUGAGGUGAAGAUUGUGAAGUCUAGGGGAGGCUUGGUACAGCCUGGAGGGUCGCUGAGACUCUCUUGUACAGCCUCUGGAUUUUCAUUCAGUGGUACCUACAUGUGCUGGGUUCGACAGGCUCCGGGGAAGGGGCUGGAAUGUGUUGCAGAAAUUAAUCCAAGUGGAGGUGCCAUGAACUAUGGAACCUCUGUGAAGGGCCAAUUCAUCAUCUCCAGAGACAAUUCCAUGAACACCCUCUACCUGCAAAUGAGCAGCCUGAGGCCUGAGGACACAGUCAUCUAUUACUGUGGUUGA